AACCUAGCACACCUGCGGUGUGUACCUGCGGAGGGAUCAUUACAGAGUUCGUGCCCUCGCGGGUAGAUCUCCCACCCUUGUGUAUUCCUUACAUUUUGUUGCUUUGGCAGGCCGUUGGUUCGCCAACCACCGGCUCUACGGGCUGGUGCGUGCCUGCCAGAGGACCCCCCAAACUCGGUUUGUUAGUGUCGUCUGAGUAAUCAUAACAAUCGUUAAAACUUUCAGCAACGGAUCUCAGAU
rnacentral:misc_RNA from 1 species